GAUGAUGGAUGCCACUUUACAUUUGUACAGUACAGUUUCUCUGUCAGAAUUCCACGUGUAUAACGCGAACAGGGCUUGCCUAAUAGAAGCAACACAAACUAGUUAUUUUCCAGUGAUACACUUGUGCGAAGAUGAAACUAUCAGUGAUGUUACAGGGUUCUAUCUUGAUGCGUUCUUACCUGCCAACACAGCAACCACCUGCAGCUGUUCACUUGAGACAAAAUAUGAAAUUUUGAUUGGUAUUAAUACUAUUAAAUAUCCAGACGACGGCUGUCAAUCAGAAUUCAGUAUACUGGUAGCUGAGUCACAGCGGACACUAAUUCACAACUGCAGUAAUGAAGACCUAUCACCAAUUUUCACCGAAUUAUUAAAUCUGGAGCCAUCCUCAUGAAGCUGAAGACAAUAGCUGGAUGCCAAGACACGACGUACUGCAUGCAAAUAUACAAUGUAGCUACUUCAGUUAGUUUUAGCCUUCAGUGUUACUCGCCAAAUGAGACAUCACCCACCAUCUCAACAAUUAGUUCAUCUUCUGGUUCUGAUACUGACGGAACCACUAGCUUCACUACCAGCUCAACUAUCACUUCAAAUACCAGCACAGCUAGCAGCCCAACUCCAAGAUCAACGUCCAGCUUAAGUAUCAGCUCCAGUUCCCGAUCAGGCAGCUCCACGCGCCCAGAAAGAACAAACUCUGAAUUGGCCUCCUCAUCAGUGUCAGUCUCAACUGUUUCUACAAAGAGACAAACUCGCCAUCAGAUUCCCCUGGUAAUAAUGUUAAUACUUGUAUUUUCAAACAAACGUCCACCUAGGAAUAGUGAAAUUACAAUCCUAACAAUAAAGAAUGCAUUACAAAUGUGACAAAAUAGAUACAAGAAAGUAAAUAUAAACUAUAAAACACAAUUUAAUUUGACUGAUAAUUCCUGAAAUCUGUUCAUGUCAAAACAAAACAAGAAAUGAAGUAUUGUGUUUCUUCUAUCAACACUACGGAAUGCAAUACAACUGCUCUUUAUCGUCCAUUUCGAGUGUUAUACUGGUCGAGCUACAUCGAACUUGUAAAACAUAAUGUAUAUCAUCAACAUGAUUACAGUUUCAUCUUAAGGUAGCAGUUAUUACAACAUUGUAAUCCAAUGAAAUAUAAACAUCAUACCAUAUUAUAAUAUCAGUGAUAAGGGAUGGAGUGUGGCUCUCUUUCACGUGCUUACAAAUCUGUCAGUGCAAUGGUUUUGAGAUGUUGUGAAAACAAAAGCAAAUACUAGGAUUACAUCAUCCAGGCAUAUGUAUUUAAAAAUAUAAAACAACAUUGAAGAUUUUUUGUAAUGGCCUUAUAGGGAUAGUUACAUGAAUAUAACUACAUAUAUACGUAUUUGUAUGAAUAAAUUAUUAGUAUCGUCAUUUUUAUGUAUAUCUCCUUCACACACAUAUUAUUAGUGUUGUUUCUUAGUUGAAGCUGAUGUAGGUGGUGUCAUUGGUGCACUUCUGAUAGUCACGGUGGUUGUUGCUAUGAUCAUCGUU